GUCUUUUUCUUUCCCGGUGCAUAACUGGACAAAAUUGAAUGUCACCAUGGCCUUACUUGGAAGAUCAUAUGUGAGGAUGAUGGUCAUUUAACAGGUGGCAGCAAUGUGGGUAGAGGAAGACUCAACUCCUUCCUACAACACAGGGCAGAAAUUAAUACUUAUAAAGGUAAACUUGACUUAAAAAAGAAAAUAUUAUGGUGAAUCUACUCUGAUUAUGAAGAAUGGAGAAAUGUGGUAUAUGUUUCAGACCAGAUAGAUUUCUAUCAGAAGUAUUUUUAAAAAUAUUUACGUUAGGGUGCUUAAAUAUAUAACCUUCUAUGAUCUAGAACACUGACAAAUAUGUAUAACCCUUCUCCAGCAAUCCUGAAUAGUGUAUAUAGUACACAACUGCCCCAUUUUAGUAUUGCAUUGCAAAAGAACAAACACAACAUUUUUAAAUACUUUUAGUUCACAUUUUUUAAUGUUUAAAAACUAUGUUAACAGAGCAGUUAUAGAACAGAACUUCUUAUAUUUCUUUAUUUACACCACACUCUGAAAAAAAAAACCCAGUUCUAUUUGAUUAACUAUGAAUAGCAAAGUUUUGUGACUUGUGACUCACUUAAAUACCAACGACCAAGAUUCAAGUGUUUGGGGAAAAAAAUACCUUAGACAGUCUAUGUUGGCGUCAACACUAAAAUAAAAGGCAAACAUGCAGGACUUUCAAAGCUUGAUUAGAUAAUGGUUCUUUGUUUUCUUUCCUUCAAAUUUGUGCUCAUAAUUAAUAUUCAGGUUCCCUCUCCCCGCUUUCAUAGAUCCCAAAGUUUGAGAAAUGCAGCAAUUCAAUUGUGAAAAAAACAUUCUUCUCCCCAGCUUCUGUUUUCAUACAUUUAUUGUUUAUAUGCAGAUCCUAGAGACUUCUAUUUCAGUGCAGAUCAACAACUUCAAAAAUAUACAGCCUCCUAUUUAUUUACAAUAAUAUUUACAUACAAAUGAAGUAUUUCCUGCAAUAAGCCUCAGCUGCAUAGAUUCUUCCUUUAAAAACGUAAAUUUGAGCCUGUAUACAGAUGGGCCCAGUUUCAUAGCCCUUCCUUAGAUAAAAGCCUAAAGAAGGAAAAUGUCUGCACCUUGUGAACUUUACAUAUUUUGCAAGAACUUUCUCUUUGAGAUUUAGUGAUAGUUUUUAGUUGUUAGACACCCCACCUUCAGCUUGUACCUGAAAGCUUUAUCUCGUUAUAAAUAAUUCACUGUAAUUUAGGGGAAGUAUGUCCUGUUGCUAAAGGAUUCUCAAACCUGCCAUCCCCAAGGAAAAUCAUGUAUUAGUAUUGCUAAAUGAUGGUCUGUAUAUUCUUUGUUUUGAAGGUGGCUAGAUGUUUGCUGUAAACUUGAAUGGGAGAAUUAUAUUCUUAAAGUUUACACCCCCUAUAAGCCUAAAGCCAUUUAAAUUGAUAAACUGAGAGAGACUAAUAGAUUUUGCUCUAAGGUAUAAAAUCCAUUAUCUGAUCAUAUUCCUGACCUCCCCCCGACUCCAACUAAAUGUGCCAUAGUCCAACACUGUGCCUCACUGAAUUGGAACUCAGUAUUUCAUUCUUUUGAGAGCAGUUUGUAGCUCCUUAAGCAGAGCAGACCUUUCAGUAGAGAAUUCGCUUUAAAAGGAGGACAGGAUUAUCACCACACGAUUAACACAAACACUGGAGAACUUCUGACACAAAUUCAGUAUUUCUUCUAAGUCUGCAUUUACAAAGGGUCUUUUAUUUUAAUUUCUUUCACAACUGCCUCGCCCCAACCAAAGCCUCACUUUCAUUUCCUCACAGCUUUAAAAAAUAAAAUAUUAUCAUGCCUCAGCCCGAGGUAACACCGAGUGCAGGCAGCCUGUGUUUAGGAAUUUGCACCUGCGCUGCUAUUUUCAACGAGAAGGGGAUAACCAGGUGGCAGCGCUGGAUUCACUCACUUUCUUGCCAUUGCAGAGACCCCUGCCGCCAGGCUCCUUUCCUCCCCUCCCUAAAGCCUGGCUCCUGUAUGUUGCACCAUGAGUCCUAGGAAUCAUCUGGUGAGGGAGGACUAAUGGGAAGUAAAAGGGAGACUCAUUGGCUUAGGGUGGCAUGAAUCAAGCUCUAGAAAGCAGUCAGUUCCAGGGUAAUAGUCUUAGGUGCUCGCCGAAGCACUGAGGAAUCUUACCACAACCCUGUGUCCACCACAAGCCCUAUCACCAUCACCCAUCUGGGUGCUUCUUUUUCUCAACAGGGUCUGUAACUGUAAAAAAGGAAAGUGGGUGGAGAGUUAAAACACAGUUACUAGCACUAAAAACAUUAAAAGUGCUGCGCCCUGAACCCUCCGGACAACAGCAGAGUUACCAGCUGAGGGAUGUCCCUGGAGGUUUCUGACCCAUGAGAGGCCCCCUCACCCUCCUUCACCCUCCUCCUACCACCAAGCUCUCCAGCAGUCAUGGACUUAUUCCUCCCCGUUUUUACUGGACACCAUGUUUCAGGCCAAUCUGGUCACCUGUAGUCUGGUGGCAUCUCUACCCCUACUGUCCAGUAGGUGGGAUGUGGCUGGGAUGGACAGUCCAGAUUCUACUAACAGGCAACUCUGAACAAACACCCUCCCUGGAAACAAUAUUAUAUUUGAUGGUUAGAUUCUUUAGCAAACCUAUUACAUUAUUCGAUGUCAGCUAACCUAUUGGUUUGAUCAUCUUUUCCAGCUGCUCUAGGGGCCUAACCACCAUGGAUAACCUGGUCUCUAAAGGAAAAUACAUUCCAGGUUGCAAACAACCAACUGACAACCUUUUGGAAUAUGAUCUCCUUAUACACUGGGGCUGCCUGUGCCUAAACACAGUAGAUUUCCCUCCUGUGCGUAUUUCAUCAGCCCCACUUCCAAUAAGUAACAUUAAGUAAAUUAGGGAUUGACAGUAUUCUGUGUUACAAUAACUAGAGAACAGUUCUAAGUCCAAAGUGUGGAACUGGCACUGUUCACUAGUAUAGAGAUCCUACCUACCAAAGGAAAACGUGCUGCUCCCCAUGCCUAGGGUAUAGUAUUCUUUAAUCUACUAAUUUAGCAGAAAAACUUCCAUAGCACUUGACUGUGCUGUUUAAAUUCGACCUAACAUCUGUGAUACAUGUAUUUUUGGCUACCAAUUAACUAUUCUGAAUAAGAAUAAGAGCAGUAUACUUUACAGCUAAUCUCACACAAAGGAUGUAACUAAUCAGUGAUAUUUGACGAAUUAUGGUAGGGUCUAUUAUAUUCAGUCAACAACAAAUUUAGAGAAACAUACAAAGUAACAAGGAAAAUAGAAAGUAGCAUAAUAUAGCUUGCAAACUAAAUUAUGUAUUUUUAAAGGUACAGUCAUCCCACUACCUGGCUAUUUCAUUACUUGGUGCUCUAGACAAGCUCCCAAGAACUGACUGGAUCUUGGCUUGUUCUGUUUCUGUCAUUGCUAAUAUAAUAUGGAAAACAUUGCUGAAAAGAACAGAGAUGGCCAUGGAUAUGGCUAGGUUAGGUAUUCAUAUCCAAAUAUCUGAACUCUAACCUAAUGUGGAUAUGAUUCUGUAGCAUUAUAUUAAAAGCUAUGAUGAUGCAAUGCAGGAAAUAACCUUUCAUUCUCCCCCCUAGAGGAUCACGACAGGUGCUUCAAUGCCUGCCUUAUCUAUGGGACAGUAGUGUGAUUCUCAGUGAGAGUGAAGGCCUUUGGGGAUUUGAGUCAGGAAGGGAACAUGGCUAAGUGCCUGGAAACUCUGCCAACAGUCUGCGGUUAGAUUCUACUUGUCUCUGGAUAAGAAAUCUGUGCUCAGUGAACUUAUGUGUUUGGAAAAUUUAACCAGAAUAUAGAGGAAGCAUAAGUCCUGUUUCAAGAGACCAGCUCACGGAGCAUGCACAUUUCUCACCAUAGGCAAGCUAUGGACAAUUCAAUCACAUGGGAUGGCCCCACUUAGGGGAAUGCAGUUCUGGGUUUCCUUGCUAUCCCUAUUCUUUUUCAGCUACAAACUCUCUUCUUUUUCAGUCUCUUCAGUUUCCUUGUGCUCCCUUUAGGAGAGGGACAAGGGUAAGAGUACCAGGCAACUCUGUCCUCCUGCAUGGACAGUUGAGACGGGCAGUAAUGGCACAGUCCUUGGUUGGGGAAGAGAAGAGGAGACAGCACAGACACUGAGACCCCCUUGUCUUCCUCAUCUGGGGGAAGGAAGGUACUCAGUGAUUCUGUCAGAAGCUCUUCACAAAGACUAUCUCUGAGGGUUUUUUUUUUUUUUUUUUCACAAGACUAGAUGGAGAAUUAAUGAAGAAGAAAUAGAAAUGAGGCUUAUUUAAGGUACAAAAUUCUUGUAUUUGUAAUAACCUAGAUUUAUAGAUAUGAUUCUCUGUGCAACUAGCUGGUGGAC
rnacentral:lncRNA from 10 species